UUAAAGCUUCAUCAGAGCUUCGUGGCAGGCCUGAGCUGGAAAGAGUAAGAGCGAACACUACCACAGGUUGUUAUUCAUCCUAAUUUCGUGUGGGGGGGAGAGAUGGGUAAACUUGAGUUAUCGAAGGUGACCUCAGCCUAGAACAGUGUCCCUUGGAAACUUCUGCAGGUUUCCUGGCCAAAAAAAAUCUCUGUCAUCGAAUGUGCUUGGGCCUGGCUGGGUUACAUAAACAGGUUCCGCUGGCAUGCUAAUAACAUACAUUCUGCACCUUUCAAGAUUCAGCUUUCCCCACACUCACCUGACCCUGGCCAGGAAAUACCCAGAAGCCCCCACAGCUGGGUCCCAGGACACUAGUUGCCUUGGAACACGGGCUGAGAAAUGCUAUUGUAAAGUAAAAUUUUCUACAGUAGUGCUUCUAAAAUCGUAGUGAACCUCAGAAACACGUGGGAGGGAUGUUAAAGCACAGAUUCCGUUCCCCACUUCUGAGGUCUGCGGUGGGACCUGCGAGCCUGAUGUCUAAGAGACUCCAAGUGAAGCCGAGGAAGCGAGGGCCACACUUUGAGUGGCAUCAACAAUGCCCCACACACAUCUCAGCUGCAGGAAGCCCUCCCAGGGCCUCUGGAAAGGCUGCCUGUGGCCUCUGACACAACCACAAUUAGCUGGAGG